CUCUGUGACUCCUACGGGAGGCAGCAGUGGGGAAUAUGCACAAUGGGCGCAAGCCUGAUGACAGCCAUGCCGCGUGUGUGAAGAAGGCCUUCGGGUUGUAAAGCACUUUCAGUUGUGAGGAAGGUGGUGUCGUUAAUAGCGGCAUCAUUUGACGUUAGCAACAGAAGAAGCACCGGCUAACUCCGUGCCAGCAGCCGCGGUAAUACGGAGGGUGCGAGCGUUAAUCGGAAUUACUGGGACGUAAAGCGCAUGCAGGUGGUUUGUUAAGUCAGAUGUGAAAGCCCGGGGCUCAACCUACGGAACUGCAUUUGAAACUGGCAGACUAGAGUACUGUAGAGGGGGUAGAAUUUCAGGUGUAGCGGUGAAAUGCGUAGAGAUCUGAAGGAAUACCGGUGGCGAAGGCGGCCCCCUGGACAGAUACUGACACUCAGAUGCGAAAGCGUGGGGAGCAAACAGGAUUAGAUACCCUGGUAG
rnacentral:rRNA from 1 species